rnacentral:rRNA from 1 species
UACGUAUGGUGCGAACGUUGUUCGGAAUCACUGGGCAUAAAGAGCACGUAGGCGGUUGAGCAAGUCCAUUGUGAAAUCCCCCGGCUUAACCGGGGAACUGCAGUGGAUACUACUUGACUUGAGUGCAGGAGGGGAGAGUGGAAUUCCAGGUGGAGCGGUGAAAUGCGUAGAUAUCUGGAGGAACGCCGGUGGCGAAAGCGACUCUCUGGUCUGCAACUGACGCUGAGGUGCGAAAGCUAGGGGAGCGAACAGG